rnacentral:rRNA from 1 species
UACGUAGGGUGCGAGCGUUAAUCGGAAUUACUGGGCGUAAAGCGAGCGCAGGCGGUUCGUUGUGUCGGCGGUGAAAGCCCCGGGCUCAACCUGGGAAUGGCCGUUGAAACUGGCGAACUGGAGUGUGGCAGAGGGGGGUGGAAUUCCGGGUGUAGCGGUGGAAUGCGUAGAGAUCCGGAAGAACACCGGUGGCGAAGGCGGCCUGCUGGGCAGUAGCUGACGCUGAUGCGCGACAGCGUGGGGAGCAAACAGG